UGGCGAACGGGUGAGUAACACGUGGGUGAUCUGCCCUGCACUCUGGGAUAAGCCUGGGAAACUGGGUCUAAUACCGGAUAGGACCAUGCUUUAGUGUGUGUGGUGGAAAGUUUUUUCGGUGUAGGAUGAGCCCGCGGCCUAUCAGCUUGUUGGUAGGGUAAUGGCCUACCAAGGCGGCGACGGGUAGCCGGACGGAGAGGUUGGUCGGCCACAUUGGGACUGAGAUACGGCCCAG
rnacentral:rRNA from 1 species